AAAUAUCUAAUAUCACUUUCCAGUGAUCUUACUUUGUUACGACUUGUCUUAAUUUAUUUAAGAAUGACGGGCGAUUUGUACAUAGUUUAUUUCACAUUUAAUUAAAAAUCUAUAUUUUAAUUUACUUCUAAAUCCUUUUGUUUAACUUUUUUAUUUAGUUGGUUUAUUAACUUAAUUUAAAUGUAAUCCACUUUAGCUUUUAAAAAAUUAUGUGUUGACUUGAUUUUUUGAGUUUAAACAAAGUUUAAAUAUUACUUUUAAGUUUAUAUAUAACAGCGAUAUAUAAAUAUAUAAAAAUAAAAUCGAGUAGAUUGUGGAUUGUCAAUUAUGGGGCAGAUUCCUCUAGUUAGAUUAAACUACCGCCAAAUUUUUUAAGUUUGAAGAUUUUCUUUUACUACUUUAAUUUUAAUUAAUCUAAUAAUAGGGUAUCUAAUCCUAGUUUUUAAUAGGGAUUUAAAUUUUUAUUAAAAAGAUUUUCUAAAAUUUAAAAAUUUUACUUAUUUAAAUUUUUGGUUUAAUCUUUAUAAUUAAUAUAAUUUAACUAGAGAUAGUUAUUUAACUUUAGGUCUAACCGCAACUGCUGGCACCUUAAUUAGCUGGUAUUAGAAUAAAUUCUCAUAGUAGAUUGCUCUAGAUUUAUAAAUGUUAGAUGUUAAAUCUUUAAUUUUAUUCAAUUGGUGAUUUAUAUACAUCUAAAACAACUUUUAAC
rnacentral:rRNA from 1 species